rnacentral:rRNA from 1 species
GUGGGGAAUAUUGGACAAUGGGCGAAAGCCUGAUCCAGCCAUGCCGCGUGUGUGAAGAAGGUCUUCGGAUUGUAAAGCACUUUAAGUUGGGAGGAAGGGUAGUAACCUAAUACGUUGCUACUUUGACGUUACCGACAGAAUAAGCACCGGCUAACUUCGUGCCAGCAGCCGCGGUAAUACGAAGGGUGCAAGCGUUAAUCGGAAUUACUGUGCGUACAGCGCGCGUAGGUGGUUCAGUAAGUUGGCAGUGAAAUCCCCUGGCUCCACCUGGGAACUGCUGUGAGAACUGCUGAGCUAGAGUACGGUAGAGGGUGGUGGAAUUUGCUGUGUAGCGGUGAAAUGCGUAGAUAUAGGAAGGAACACCAGUGGCGAAGGCGACCACCUGGACUGAUACUGACACUGAGGUGCGAAAGCGUGGGGAGCAAACAGGAUUAGAAACCCCUGUAGUCC